rnacentral:rRNA from 1 species
CAGCAGCCGCGGGAAUACGUAGGGUGCGAGCGUUAAUCGGAAUUACUGGGCGUAAAGCGUGCGCAGGCGGUUUUGUAAGACAGGCGUGAAAUCCCCGGGCUCAACCUGGGAAUGGCGCUUGUGACUGCAAAGCUAGAGUGCGGCAGAGGGGGAUGGAAUUCCGCGUGUAGCAGUGAAAUGCGUAGAUAUGCGGAGGAACACCGAUGGCGAAGGCAAUCCCCUGGGCCUGCACUGACGCUCAUGCACGAAAGCGUGGGGAGCAAACAGGAUUAGAUACCCCCGUAGUCCCUGUCUCUUAUAU